rnacentral:tRNA from 1 species
AGUAAUAUGUCUGAACAAAAGUAAUAAAUUGUAAAUUUAUAUAUAGAGAUUAUUCCUCUUAUUACUA